rnacentral:rRNA from 1 species
AGAGUUUGAUCCUGGCUCAGGAUGAACGCUGGCGGCGUGCUUAACACAUGCAAGUCGAGCGAAGCACUUCGUUUUGAAUCUUCGGAGGAAGAACGGAAUGACUGAGCGGCGGACGGGUGAGUAACGCGUGGGCAACCUACCUCAUACAGGGGGAUAACAGUUAGAAAUGACUGCUAAUACCGCAUAAGACCGCGGUACCGCAUGGUACAGCGGUAAAAACUCCGGUGGUAUGAGAUGGGCCCGCGUCUGAUUAGCUAGUUGGUGAGGUAACGGCCCACCAAGGCGACGAUCAGUAGCCGACCUGAGAGGGUGACCGGCCACAUUGGGACUGAGACACGGCCCAAACUCCUACGGGAGGCAGCAGUGGGGAAUAUUGCACAAUGGGGGAAACCCUGAUGCAGCGACGCCGCGUGAGCGAUGAAGUAUUUCGGUAUGUAAAGCUCUAUCAGCAGGGAAGAAGAUGACGGUACCUGACUAAGAAGCCCCGGCUAACUACGUG